ensembl:snRNA U6 U6 spliceosomal RNA
GCACUAGCUUUAGCAACACAUAUACCAAAGUUGGAACAAUGCAGAAAUUAUCAUAGCCCCUGCACAAGGAUGACAUGAAGUAUUCUGUAAAAUACAAUAAAAUA